UUCUAUGAUUUAUAUUAUCAUGGAAGCCUCAUUGGUCCAUUAGUUGACUAAAAGUUCAUUAAUGCUUCUAUACCAAGAGGUCUGAGGUUCAAGACCCAGAUAAUGCGAUUUAUCAGCAUAUUUGGAGAUUAAUGGAAACAAGUGUGCAAAAAAUCUCCAACGAUGUACAAUUAUUGCCAUUCGCGAGGAUUCUCCGCAGAGACUUUCAUUAUAGGUGUGCAUCAAGAGCAUAAAGAAGAGAAGGAGGUGUUGUCUUCGUGGAUCUAAUAAGGGUCAGAAGGAAUUGCACGUGAUAGAAUCGUUUAUGUAACAGUUCUCAUAAUUUACAAA
rnacentral:sRNA from 1 species